rnacentral:lncRNA from 1 species
AUGGCCCAGGAAGGCAUCACUGCUGGAGGUGUCAUGGACCUUAAUACUGCUUUAUAAAGGUCCCAAAGGCUGCCCUCAUCCAUGAUGGCCUAGCACAUGGAAUUUGAGGAGCUGCCAAAGUCCUAGACAAGCGCUGGGCACAUCCUUGUGUGCUGCCCCCAGCUGUGAUGAGCCUGCCUAUGUGGCUGAAGACCCUUGGUGCUGAACACCGGAUCACCCUAAUUACAGUUGAUGACAAGAAACUAGGGGAAAGGGUGAGCCACUGUAAAACUGACAAAGGGAAAACCCCAUAAGGUGGUUAGUUGUGGUUGCGUAGCAUUAAAGACCAUGGCAAAGGAUGUCAUCAAAGAGGUUUUUUUUUUGU